GGGCCCAAGGGAGAAUGAGCCCGCUGAGGGCUCUCAGUCCUGGGCAAGGUCUCCCCUCUCCAGGGAUUAUGCUAACAAAAGCAGCCCCUUGGAAAAACUGGCCGGGUACCUUGCCUGCAGGGUUCCCGCAGCCUUACCAGUGAGUGAGGAAGGUCACCUUCUGGCAGCACAGGAACUGCCCAGACCCGGGGGGUCUCAAGAAGAGGAACUCCUCCGAACCUACAGCAUCUGGCUACAGCUCUCCAAACGAACAUUUUCAGUGUUUUCUCCUGCCUUCUAACUUGGAAUCAUGGAGAACUGAAACUGGCCUUUGCCCAAAGCCUGAUCAGCUAAGGUGGGAUGUGACAAAAGUGAGAGAAAUCACCACAAGGGCCGGACAGUCUUCGGACCUGUUGCCAUGUGGGCCACGGCGAUCACCAGAGACCCUCAGACUGCAAACAAGUAAAAUCCAUCCGCUUACUACCGGCUGCCCUCAGUCCAUCUGACGUGUGUCCAGUCUGGCGUCUAGAAAUCCGGCCUGGCUACCUUCAGCCUCAGAAACUGGGAUCUACUCCAACCAUUAACCUCUUUUAUUUUCUCUUGUUUCCACGAAAAUGUUUCUUAAAUACCCAAGUGCUUGGACGUUACAGGGCUAACUUGGGUAACCCACCUGCAUCACUGCCUCCUGAAAUAAGCCCCAAACCUCUAAGUGAACUGACCUGUCCUCAGGACUAAGAGACAGCCUGUUCCAUGUCUCCUCGAGCCAGUCAGCUCAGGACAGGUUUAAACCUACGUGUACCAAGCGGCCUCCAACAAUUUAAAUGUAUCAUUCCAUUUGCAGCUCCGUGGAUGGAACUAGAGGGUAUCGUGCUAAGCGAAAUUAGUCAGAGGAAGACAAAUAUAUGACUUUACUCAG